rnacentral:rRNA from 1 species
UACGUAGGCAGCAAGCGUUGUUCGGAGUUACUGGGCGUAAAGGGUGUGUAGGCGGUUCUUUAAGUUUGGUGUGAAAUCUCCCGGCUCAACUGGGAGGGUGCGCCGAAUACUGAGGGACUAGAGUACGGGAGAGGAAAGUGGAAUUCCUGGUGUAGCGGUGAAAUGCGUAGAUAUCAGGAGGAACACCGGUGGUGUAGACGGCUUCUGGACCGACACUGACGCUGAGACACGAAAGCGUGGGUAGCAACAGG